AUCACUUUUCAAAGUUAAAAAAGGCUACUUUUCUCAUCCUGGUAAAGGUUCUUUUACUGGAAAUUCCUAAAUCCUAAUAAGCAUCUAUCGUCAAUAGAAUUUCCAUUCUUAAGUGCAAAAUUAUAAUUACAGUCAAGAAAGCAAAUAUACUUUCUUUCUGUUUUUUUCUAGUUGUGUAUGUUGUCAAUUUAAAUGUUGUCUUGAUUCAUUCAAUGUAAACUCUGAGGUCAGAUAUGUUUUGAUGUCCGGGAGGCUUUGAUUCAUGUCGUAUUCGUUUCAUUGAUCGCAUCACUUCACAACUGGAGUAGAACUUGUUUACGUGAUAUCAACAAGGCACAAGACCACAGUUACUUGCCCUUGGUUGACCACAAUAAGGAAGUGCUUACUCGGAAAAUAGUACCUCUGUUUGAUGGUGAAUAUUGGUGAAAAAUUGAAUGAAAGACAUGCACUAAAAGGCAUAAUUUAAGAGAGGAGAUGUGAAAUAAUAGUUAGAUGUGAAUUUUGAUAGGAUUAAAUUGUCAGAAUAUGCAAAACCGGUCACUUGAAGAGGACAGAUUUUGCCUGUUUGCAGCCGUCAAAAGACUAUUUACCAUAGGCGUAUGAUUUGGGUAAACAUACUGAAAAAAGGAGCCGGUCAACCCAUAAUUUCUUGUGGCUGGAAUUUUUCUCUUGGAUAGUUCUAUUCAGGGCAGGCACACUGUAACAUCACUAAGGCGCCCAAAACAGUCAACCAAGCGCUUUUGGAAAUCCUUUCACAGUUCCCGUUGCGUUGUUGCUAGGUUUAACAUUAAACCGACACAACUAUAGGCGACUCUCCAGAUAUUUCAUUGUAGAGAAAACCCCGAGGUGUCUCUCCAAGCACUAUUUCAGGCCUCGGCGGGCACCUGGGUAGACUCGCCGAAAUUCUGCACGCCAACUUGAUGGUUGUGAGAUAGACUUCAGAGACAAAUAUGGCAGAGAAUAUGUAUGAGCUGCUUACCUGGCUUUCACCAUUGGAAAUCUGUUUAAUUUUCUUUGCAGUGCUUAUCAUCGCAUGUAUGACUGAAAAUUUUCGCAAUCUAUCUCAUCAUAAAAGAUUGCAUUUCAAAAGGGCAAAGGUGAACAACUGACAGCACAGUGCCGUGAAAAUUUGACACUUUACAAUCAGUAUUUAUUAAAAUGCAGCUUAUAGUUAGCUCUACCUUUUCUAGAAAUAUGUCCAUAGCAAAUGUGUAUCGAAUUAAUGAAUAGAAGACAAUUUAUGGAGGACGUUUAUAGCAAAGACACGUAACAAAUCAUCUGAUCAGAAUAUGACCAUCUCAGCUUUGGUGGUGCAAAUGCACAUUGUACAUGUAGAUGUGAAAAAAAGAUCAAAUUAACUUUUCUUUAGCAUGUGUACGCUGUUCUAACAUAACCUAGCCUAGGAAUCGAAUUUGAUACAUAUCAUAAGUCUGAAGAAGAUGCUUGACAAUAAAUGCCAAAACUUUUCUCAGUGGUUUCAGAGAAUGACUGUUAAUUUUAAUUGACAAUAUCAGAAAUGCAAUAAACGCCAGUUAAUGCUAAUAAAUGCUUAUUAAGAGAUGUGUUUGAUGCAGAGAUAUUGUAUAUAUUUUAUAAGCAAAUCUUUAAGUAUCAACGACAUCUUAGGCUAAACAUUCAACCUUUUCCUUGACAUGGAUUAUUCGUGAUUGCAUUCAAAAUAUAUCACAAUAUCGUUCAUGUUCACCAUACAAGAAAAUUUAAAGAAGGCGACAACGAGAAGUUCUAAAUUAGCAAAAUCAAUUUCUUACUCUACAUUCGAACUGACGAUUCCGAUAGGGCAAUCUAUCGUUGUAAUUUCAGCUGUUUUGGAUCAUACAUUAAAUUUUAAUGAUUAUCAAAUGUGACUCCAUUUGUGACUAGAUUUUUUAAAACUAUUUAGAAUAUAUUAAGAUGGUAUAUAAAGAAUCAACGUACAUCAACUUUUAUAAUUUUUCAAGGAUUUUUUUGUGAAAAUACAUUAUUUGCCCAUUUAUUUUAAGUAUGUUAAUUGCCUACUACCACCUUAGGAUACAUGUAAAAUAAUGUAUAACUUUCAUCAGGAUCAGUCAACAUUCACGAAAAAUCUGAAAUGAAAAUUACGUUAGUUAUGUAAGCAAAUUAUGAAAUUAAUAAUAGUAAAUUUAUAAACAUUGUCUUCAUUAUUGUCUUGUAAUAUUAAACUGAGGCCACAGACCUGUGUUUCUUGACACUUUCAUUACAUAAUCACUUUAAACUGUUUAAAAUUAAAUAUACGAAUACGUAGACUAAUGCCAUGACUUCAAAACUAGCCGGUAAAGUUUUAUCAUUUUGAAACAUGGUGUCUCUGUUACCUAUGUACUGAAAUUGUAAUUGUUCCAAUGUGGUAUGUUUGUGCUAUGAUCUUUUGUUUGAGAAAUGGAUAUUAUUUGCGGCCCAAGUCAGCGACGUCUUAAUAACGUCAAAAUAUUCAUUUUCAAAAAAGUAUCACUCUUGGUUAAUGUAAACCAUACAUUUAACAGGAGCAUGUAGAUAUUAGUUUUCUUUUUUUCAUUAAUGUCACUGGUCCCAGGAGCGGAAUUCAUAUAAGUUUUAAGUAGCUUGUUUUCCAAUCCAUUCGAUUAAAAAUUUCUUUGUUUGUUUGUUACAGUACUAUUUUGACUGAUGUAUGUCUUUUUAUCAAACUUUGUUAAUUUAAAUAUAGUACUCGUGUUUGUAUAUACAAUUUGUGGAAAUAAAUACAGUUUUAAACCAAUGUCACUGGAAAUCGGGAAACAAUCUAUUUAUAGGUGAUUAUGGCUGAUCAACAUGUUAGAAUUAAUGCUUAUUGAUGGUUGAGCUAUCUUUUAAGAUAGUUCGACAAAAAUGCUUGAUAUCUACAGUAAUUCAAAAAUUUCUGUCAGUAUGUUCCUAGUUCUUGUACUACUGAAUUUUAAAUUUAGAUUUCUAGAUUUUUUGUGACGUCAUUAUUAUGUGAGUCAACGUAUGACUAUCACUGUGACAGUCAAAAAUAUUCAUUUUAAACGUGAAUGGCCGAUUUACUUAAAACUUUACUGAGACAUCACCUAAAUAUUAUAUAAAUAUUGUUCACGAUGUUGAUGAAAUUUUCUUUCACAAAAAAGUUAUAUGGUUUUAUUCGGAAUUAUUGGUGUUUUUACUUUAAAGACGACAGAAUGUCGCGCCGGGCCGCUAGCGCGUUGUUAUGGUAAUAAAGUAAACUGUAGUUUUGUAUUGUGUGAUAUCAUUCUGAAUAAUUACAGUUGCAAGCGGACAUGUUACUGGUUAAAACGGUACCAAUUAUUCUAAAUUGCACAUGCAAAGGACAAAGUUGUAGAGUCAGUCUACGUAUUUAUUGAACAACCCUCGUACAUGCGUUUUGAUAAAAUAAUCCCACGUGCCUGGAAAAGUGUCUUCAGCUUUUGCAUUCUAACUGAUAUUUGGGGCGGUAGCGAAGCCAUAACACAUCGUGAGAUGAAAUAUAAUGUCAUUAAGUGAUUUCAUAUUGGCCUUGUUAUUUGUCCAUUGGGUGCCGCAUAUGUCCAAUGCCACGGGCCAAGAGUCAAUACGGCUGCCCGAGCCAAAUAAAUAAGCCAAUUUGAAGUCACUUGAUUAGUGGCAAUUUUAUCAUUCAGUUUUCGGAUUUGGACUAGAACAACAUAAAAUUCUUUUAGUUAUAGUAUUAGACAAGUGUGCAUGUUUAGAUCAAAUUGUUUUAGAAUUAUUAUAACUAAUUAAAUCCUGAUUUCCGAAAGCCUCGUGUAUACAGACACGGUCAUGCAUAGCUAUGUAUGGUCAAUUUUGAUGAUUAAAGAAAUAGAAAGAUCAUUAUAAUCUUUACAAGUGUGUUACAGAAGCUAUCAUACAUUCAUUCUCAUAUUUUGUUUUACGCAGAUAACAUUAUGUUAUAGCAUAUUCACGAUUUUGAACCUUUGUUAUAUAAGAGCGGAUAAUAUCGACUAAUAUACCACAAGGCUGAUGGUUUAAGCAUCUAACAAUAUCGUAUCGGUGAUAGCAAACAAAAGUGCUCGACAUUGAUAUUUUUCUUUAAUUCGCUAGCUAAAUCGUAUGUGUUUUGUUUUUAGUUUUAAAUGGUAACAUUUUUGUGGGUUUCUAUUUAACCACAAUUUACGUAGGGAAAUAAAACAUUAUAACCACUGUAGUGAAACCAGACAGAAAGAUAAUGUUACCAAUAAUAAUAAAAAAAAAUAUUUUAAAGAAGAUUUAGCUGCCCAACCAAACAUAUCCGUUGUUUGGCCAUCCAUUUGUUAAAAAGUACAAUGUACUAGUCUUAAUACAAAACACUGUACGUUAGCUUGAACCAUUGUGCAAUAUGCAUAAAUGCAUAGAAAAUAAAUUAUAAUAUCAA
rnacentral:misc_RNA from 1 species